ensembl:lncRNA
UUGCUCUUGCAACUAUAUACUUUCUCACUCAGAGGCUCAGAGCCUCGAGGCUCCCUUAAGACUGAAAGUUUUCUCUCUUUCUGCAUCUAGAUGUGGAGGCAGUUUGGCUGCAAGGAGGAGCUGUAGAUCUGAGCACAGACCAAAUUGAGUAAGGCCAGAACAAGCUGGGACACAGAGGAGCAUCCUCGCUGGACCAGUGCAGCAUCUCUUCCCCUAGGCAGACCUGUCAGGAUCAUCUUAGGGUCAAGGAGCGGACAGUCGCCUCAGCACCCAGCUUGUCUUCUCCACAGCGUGCAGAACACAUACAAAGAGGAAACUUGGCCUCGGUUUCAUCUUAGAAGAGGGUUUCAGACACUCCCAGGAAGUCCUUUUUUGUCUUUGUAAACUCCUGAGUAAAAGAAAUUCUUACAAAGAGAUACCUCCACUUGGUAAAUGCCCCCUGACUAUUGUCCAAGAUUUUGAUGUUGAGAUUGAACAUGGUUAAGGGUCCACCUGAGCGAACUCCGCCUUGCCUUCUGUUUGGUAACCCAUGUGUUACCUUACGUGACAUCUCGUUAGGUCUUCAUGUACUCAUCCAAACUUCGGAAGUUAUCUAUUUAAAGCCAAAGCAAGUUGGAACAACUUUGACUGAGCCAGCUCCUCCCGACAUUUAUUGGUGCAUUGCUUUCUAACCCAUACCCGGCAUUGCCUAGGUCACUCGCUGACGGGUUAACUGGGUGAACUCAACCCAAUGAUCUAUGUUAAGCUGUCUCACCUUCCACUCGAACAAUGCUCCCCUUUAAGAAGCCUCAGAGAACCAAAAUGACUAGAUGAGACCUGAUUCAACUUGUUCCUCUAUUGUAGCAAAAGAUUAAAGCAUUUUUUCACCUACUUCCCCCCCACCCCUUCUUAAUCCUCUAUCCGGCUGAUUCAUAACAGCUGUUAAAUAACUAGACAUUUAGGUAAAGGCAAACUGAACCUAUAAAUCAAUGCGUGUGAUAUAAUAACCAACUCUUUCCGGCACAGCUUGCUCGAACUGUCUUGGUUUGCUUUUUUUUGUGCUGACUUCAGCUGCAGCAUCUGUAUGAAGGGGUUUAGCUCAAUUGUAAAUACUAAUCUCCAGGCUGCUAAUGUCAUUAUGGAAAUGGAUAUAAGUAACUGGAACUCGCAGGACCUUCCUAGAGAUGGGGUGGGAGAUUUUGAACACAUGCGUUUCCUCCAAGCUGUUACAAUCCUCCUGAGUGUGCGAAUCUGGUAGAACUGUCUUGGUUGUAAACUAUAGAAGCCAUCAGCAGCUAGUUUCAGCAGAGUAGGGAAAUUACAAAGACACAGGAUGGCUCAUCAACUCAGGUGCCGGGAAUGUAGCGGGGCCUCAGAAGGGGACCGACACCAGAACCUGGAAGGCCAUAAAAAGGUUCUCUCCAUUUCAUCUCCCUUCGUCCAUCUGCUCAUUCUUCUUGCUCUCCAUUGACUGGCUUCCUGUGUGUGGCAGACACUGGCUGGUUGUUCGGCAAAUCCAUUUUCCUUUUCUUCUGGGAACACAUCUAAACUAUGUUUCCCAUUAGGUGUAGCCAUGCACGCAGUUCUGGCUUCCACUGCAAAGCCUGGCCCAUAAGAAGCUUCUUUACAAUUCUCUAUUCCCUGUUCUCCUUCUCUCUCCAUCUGCUGGCACAAGGAAGAGGACUGAGACCGGAGGAAGGUGGGAGCCACAGGAUAAAACCCUGAAUAACAGCACACCCUUCCCUCAUGCUAUUUUCCCUCUCCCCCCAACUACCACGCACUCGAUGUGACUGAGAAAGGUGUAUCCUGUUAAGCUCUAUUCCAUCCUGUUAAGCUAUUGAGAUUUGCGGAUUUAUCUUUUACAGCAGCUAAUACCACUCUAAGUCUCCUUUCCUGUUGUGGAAAAUUCCCAACCUGCAACUUCAGAGUAUAUAUUUUACAAAUACAGCCCCAAAAUAAGGAAAAGGUCUUCUCUCCGUUGGUCUUAAUUCCACGUUUUCGGGAAUCAGACACUGAACCAAUGGGUCAGUUCCUACCUUUGAUAAUGAUCCGCUUUGAUGAAGGAGGUGGGGUCGUCAUGUACAAAAUGGCCACUAGAGGGCGCAUCAUGUGAACUUGCGCUCUUGAAGAAAAUAAAUCCAAGUUUAGGAUCGAGUUUCUCUUUCAGCUACGCUGCUAACUCGCUGGAUAGUCUUAACUCACUUAACCACUGCGGGCAUCGGUCCCCCCACAUCAAAAUGAGAGAUUUAGAUGACGUCGUUUCCAAAGUCUUUUGCAAGUUUACUAUUACAUAACCCAUAAAGCUUCGUACCAUACCUGCAAAACAAUUCAAUUCUUGCACAGUGAAAUGAGAUUUUCCUUGAAUUUUUUUAUGGCUUAGCAUAGAUGCCCCAAAUAUCACAGGACAUUUUUGCGGCUCCCAGACACUGAUCAGUGUCCUAACAUCAUGGGAA